CUUAACGGUAUCCUGAGUACGGCGAGGCACGUGGAACCUUGUCGGAAUCUGCCAGGACCAUCUGGUAAGGCUAAAUACUCUUCUAAAGACCGAUAGUGAACCAGUACCAUGAGGGAAAGGUGAAAAGAACCGUGGAAACGGAGUGAAAUAGAAUCUGAAACCGUAUGCUUACAAAAAGCCAGAGCACAUUUAAGUGUGAUGGCGUGCCUUUUGUAGAAUGAACCGGCGAGUUAUGUUAAUUAGCGAGGUUAAGUUGAAGAAAUGGAGCCGUAGCGAAAGCAAGUCUGAAUAGGGCGCUUGAGUUAAUUGACAUAGACCCGAAGCCGUUGUGAUCUAGCCAUGACCAGGUUGAAGUUUGGGUGAAACCAAAUGGAGGACCGAACCGACCCCCGUUGAAAAGUUGGCGGAUGAGUUGUGGCUAGCGGAGAAAUUCCAAUCGAACACGGCGAUAGCUGGUUCUCCCCGAAAUAGCUUUAGGGCUAGCGUUGAAUAUAAACAAUGGAGGUAGAGCACUGAAUUGGUGAUGGCCUCAUCUCGAGGUACUGAUCUAAAUCAAACUCCGAAUGCCAUUGUGGUCAUUUCAGCAGUCAGUCUGUGGGUGAUAAGGUCCAUGGACAAAAGGGAAACAGCCCAGAUCAUCAGUUAAGGUCCCAAAAUUAUUGCUAAGUGGAAAAGGAUGUGGGAUUGCACAGACAACUAGGAGGUUGGCUCAGAAGCAGCCAUCCUUCAAAGAGUGCGUAACAGCUCACUAGUCGAGUGAUCCUGCGCCGAAAAUUUACCGGGGCUAAGCAAUAUACCGAAACUAUGGCAACAUCUAAUGUUGGGUAGGGGAGCGUUCCAUACAGGUUGAAGCAAUAUCGUAAGAAGUUGUGGACAGUAUGGAAGUGAGAAUGCCGGUGUGAGUAGCGAAAUGUAGGUGAGAAUCCUACACACCGAUUGACCAAGGUCUCCAGGGGAUGGUUCGUCCGCCCUGGGAUAGUCGGGACCUAAGGCGAGGCUGAUAAGCGUAGUCGAUGGAUAACAGGUGGAUAUUCCUGUACCCGCAUUAUCAAUGAUGGAAUGACGAAGAAGGGUACCUCUACUCCUUAUUGGAUUGGGGAACAAACAGUAUAUCUGGUUAGUAGGUAAAUCCGCUAACAUAAUGUAAACUGUGAUGUUGAGUGAACCAGCGAUGUAG
rnacentral:rRNA from 1 species